rnacentral:rRNA from 1 species
GAUGAACGCUAGCUACAGGCUUAACACAUGCAAGUCGAGGGGCAGCGGUAUCGAAAGCUUGCUUUCGGUAGCCGGCGACCGGCGCACGGGUGAGUAACGCGUAUCGAACCUGCCUCAUACUCGGGAAUAGCCUUGCGAAAGUAAGAUUAAUGCCCGGUGUUUUCAGAGUCCCGCAUGAGGCUUUGAACAAAGAUUUAUCGGUAUGAGAUGGCGAUGCGUCCCAUUAGCUUGUUGGCGGGGUAACGGCCCACCAAGGCAUCGAUGGGUAGGGGUUUUGAGAGGAAGGGCCCCCAAAUUGGAACUGAGACACGGUCCAAACUCCUACGGGAGGCAGCAGUGAGGAAUAUUGGUCAAUGGGCGGAAGCCUGAACCAGCCAAGUAGCGUGCAGGAAGACGGCCCUCCGGGUUGUAAACUGCUUUUAGUUGGGAAUAAAACGGGGCUCGUGAGCCCCCUUGCAUGUACCAUCAGAAAAAGGACCGGCUAAUUCCGUG